rnacentral:lncRNA from 1 species
GACUAGACAUUGUUUCUGUAUAGUAUAUCUAAAUAUCCUGUGUAGGCAGGACUUAAGGGAACUUUAUGUAGACUUAUUUUAUUAAAAUGCCAUUUUUUUUGAGAAAUUGAUGGUCUUGGCAAAAAAAAAUUUUUAAAAAUGCUAUUACAAGAAUUGUACUUUUGUUUUGAACAGUACUAAGGCUCGUACGUCUGCAUCGAUUAUCUUACGUGGGGCAAAUGAUUUCAUGUGUGAUGAGAUGGAGCGCUCUUUACAUGAUGCACUUUGUGUAGUGAAGAGAGUUUUGGAGUCAAAAUCUGUGGUUCCCGGUGGGGGUGCUGUAGAAGCAGCCCUUUCCAUAUACCUUGAAAACUAUGCAACCAGCAUGGGGUCUCGGGAACAGCUUGCGAUUGCAGAGUUUGCAAGAUCACUUCUUGUUAUUCCCAAUACACUAGCAGUUAAUGCUGCCCAGGACUCCACAGAUCUGGUUGCAAAAUUAAGAGCUUUUCAUAAUGAGGCCCAGGUUAACCCAGAACGUAAAAAUCUAAAAUGGUAAGCAUGGUUUCCCGCUCUUUGUUAACCUCUGC